AGACCCGAAACCCGGUGAUCUAGCCAUGGGCAGGUUGAAGGUUGGGUAACACUAACUGGAGGACCGAACCGACUAAUGUUGAAAAAUUAGCGGAUGACCUGUGGCUGGGGGUGAAAGGCCAAUCAAACCGGGAGAUAGCUGGUUCUCCCCGAAAGCUAUUUAGGUAGCGCCUCGUGAAUUCAUCUCCGGGGGUAGAGCACUGUUUCGGCUAGGGGGCCAUCCCGGCUUACCAACCCGAUGCAAACUGCGAAUACCGGAGAAUGUUAUCACGGGAGACACACGGCGGGUGCUAACGUCCGUCGUGAAGAGGGAAACAACCCAGACCGCCAGCUAAGGUCCCAAAGUCAUGGUUAAGUGGGAAACGAUGUGGGAAGGCCCAGACAGCCAGGAUGUUGGCUUAGAAGCAGCCAUCAUUUAAAGAAAGCGUAAUAGCUCACUGGUCGAGUCGGCCUGCGCGGAAGAUGUAACGGGGCUAAACCAUGCACCGAAGCUGCGGCAGCGACGUUUAUGCGUUGUUGGGUAGGGGAGCGUUCUGU
rnacentral:rRNA from 2 species